rnacentral:rRNA from 1 species
CCUACGGGAGGCAGCAGUAGGGAAUUUUGCGCAAUGGGGGAAACCCUGACGCAGCAACGCCGCGUGAGCGAUGAAGCCCUUCGGGGUGUAAAGAUCUGUCAGUGGGGACGAAACCUGACGGUACCCACAGAGGAAGCACCGGCUAACUACGUGCCAGCAGCCGCGGUAAUACGGGGGGGGCAAGCGUUGUCCGGAAUCAUUGGGCGUAAAGAGUGCGUAGGUGGCACGGUAAGUCUGGUGUUAAAGGCGGAGGCUCAACUUCCGUAGGGCACUUGAUACUGGCGAGCUUGAGUGCGGUAGAGGUAAGGGGAAUUCCUGGUGUAGCGGUGAAAUGCGUAGAUAUCAGGAGGAACAUCGGUGGCGAAGGCGCUUUACUGGACCGUAAUUGACACUGAGGAACGAAAGCCGGGGUAGCAAAUGGGAUUAGAUACCCGUGUAGUC